rnacentral:rRNA from 1 species
CCUACGGGAGGCAGCAGUAAGGAAUAUUGGUCAAUGGACGAAAGUCUGAACCAGCCAUGCCGCGUGAAGGAUUAAGGCCCUCUGGGUUGUAAACUUCUUUUAUCUGGGACGAAAAAAGGGUAUUCUUACUCACUUGACGGUACCAGAGGAAUAAGCACCGGCUAACUCCGUGCCAGCAGCCGCGGUAAUACGGAGGGUGCAAGCGUUAUCCGGAUUUACUGGGUUUAAAGGGUGCGUAGGUGGGCUUGUAAGUCAGUGGUGAAAUCUCCGGGCUUAACCCGGAAACUGCCAUUGAUACUAUAGGUCUUGAAUUAUCUGGAGGUAAGCGGAAUAUGUCAUGUAGCGGUGAAAUGCUUAGAUAUGACAUAGAACACCCAAUUGCGAAGGCAGCUUACUACGGAUAUAUUGACACUGAGGCACGAAAGCGUGGGGAGUCAAACAGGAUUAGAUACCCUGGUAGUCCACGCCCUAACCGAUGAUACUCGACAUCAGCGAUACACUGUUGGUUGGUCGUGAGCGAAAGACAUUAAAGUUAAUUCCCACCCUCGGGGUAAGGUACGGAUCGCAAGAUUAGUAAACGUUAAAAUUAGUAAGUUAGUACGGCGUGAGACGUGCCCGAACGGACGACCGACCGAGGGGAGGUUAGGG